GACGAACGUUGGCGGCGUGCUUAAUACAUGCAAGUCAACUGAAGCAGUGGUAGCAAUAUCGCUGUGGAGGUGGCGCACGGGUGAGUAACACGUAGGUAAUCCGCCUUCAGGUCUGGCAUAACUCCGGGAAACCGGGGCUAAUAGCAGAUGAUGCAGCGGCUCGACAUCGAGACAGUUGUUAAAGCUAUGGCGCCUGAAGAUGAGCCUGCGCCUGAUUAGCUAGUUGGCGGGGUAACGGCCCACCAAGGCAACGAUCAGUAGCUGGUCUGAGAGGAUGAUCAGCCACACUGGAACUGAGACACGGUCCAGACUCCUACGGGAGGCAGCAGUAAGGAAUAUUGCUCAAUGGGAGAAAUCCUGAAGCAGCAACGCCGCGUGAGGGACGAAGGGCUUUUGCUUGUAAACCUCUGUAGUGAGAGAAAAAAAUCCCAAUCUUUGGGACAUGAUGGUAUCUCAAAAGUAAGCCCCGGCUAACUACGUG
rnacentral:rRNA from 1 species